rnacentral:rRNA from 1 species
UACAGAGGGUGCAAGCGUUGCUCGGAUUCAUUGGGCGUAAAGGGUGCGUAGGUGGCGCGGUAAGUCGGGUGUGAAAUUUCGGAGCUUAACUCCGAAACUGCAUUCGAUACUGCCGUGCUUGAGGACUGGAGAGGAGACUGGAAUUUACGGUGUAGCAGUGAAAUGCGUAGAGAUCGUAAGGAAGACCAGUGGCGAAGGCGGGUCUCUGGACGGUUCCUGACACUGAGGCACGAAGGCCAGGGGAGCAAACGGG